rnacentral:rRNA from 1 species
AUUGAACGCUGGCGGCAGGCCUAACACAUGCAAGUCGAACGAGUGGCGGACGGGUGAGUAAUGUCUGGGAAACUGCCUGCUGGCGGGGGAUAACUACUGGAACCGGUAGCUAAUACCGCAUACCUUCCGACGUGCCCAGAUGGGAUUAGCUUGUUGUUGGGGUAACGGCUCACCAAGGCGACUAUCCCUAGCUGGUCGGAGAGGAUGACAAGCCACACGGGAACUUAGACACGGUCCAGACUCCUACGGGAGGCAGCAGUGGGGAAUAUUGCACAAUGGGCGCAAGCCUGAUGCAGCCAUGCCGCGUGUAGGAAGAAGGCCUUCGGGUUGUAAAGUACUUUCAGCGGGGAGGCGUUACCCGCAGAAGAAGCACCGGCUAACUCCGUGCCAGCAGCCGCGGUAAUUC